GAAAGACCCCGUGAACCUUUACUGUAGGCUGCUAUUGGGUUGAGAUAUGUCUUGUGUAGGAUAGCUGGGAGACUUUGAACUUUGCACGCUAGUGUAGAGGGAGUCGUUGUUGAAAUACCAGCCUGGUCAUAUUUUAAUUCUAACUUUGAUCCCCUGAAACGGGGCAAAGGACAGUGUCAGUCGGGCAGUUUGACUGGGGCGGUCUCCUCCCAAAGAGUAACGGAGGAGCACGAAGGUUAGCUAAUCACGGUCGGACAUCGUGAGGUUAGUGCAAUGGCAUAAGCUAGCUUAACUGCGAGACAGACACGUCGAGCAGGUACGAAAGUAGGUCAUAGUGAUCCGGUGGUUCUGUAUGGAAGGGCCAUCGCUCAACGGAU
rnacentral:rRNA from 1 species